rnacentral:rRNA from 1 species
UGGGGAAUUUUGGACAAUGGGCGAAAGCCUGAUCCAGCAAUGCCGCGUGUGUGAAGAAGGCCUUCGGGUUGUAAAGCACUUUUGUCCGGAAAGAAAUCCUUGGCUCUAAUACAGUCGGGGGAUGACGGUACCGGAAGAAUAAGCACCGGCUAACUACGUGCCAGCAGCCGCGGUAAUACGUAGGGUGCAAGCGUUAAUCGGAAUUACUGGGCGUAAAGCGUGCGCAGGCGGUUUGCUAAGACCGAUGUGAAAUCCCCGGGCUCAACCUGGGAACUGCAUUGGUGACUGGCAGGCUAGAGUAUGGCAGAGGGGGUAGAAUUCCACGUGUAGCAGUGAAAUGCGUAGAGAUGUGGAGGAAUACCGAUGGCGAAGGCAGCCCCCUGGGCCAAUACUGACGCUCAUGCACGAAAGCGUGGGGAGCAAACAGGAUUAGAUACCCUGGUAGUCCACGCCCUAAACGAUGUCAACUAGUUG